GGGAUAAUUGAUCGGAUGUUUAUUUCAUAACAACGAGAAAGGUACGCAUUUCAUAAUGAAGAAGAAAUUCAGUAAAAUGGGCACCACUACCACGCUUACCGGACCAUACCUUCCAUGCCAUUUGCCAUAACCAAAUCGCAAAAUGGCUGACCUAUGUCCUCGAGAGCCUCACUAAUCCUAUCUUUGUGGUGUUGACCCUGGGCUGUUUUCCCCAAAAGGAAAAAGUCGCAACGUGUUAAAUCACAAGAUCUGGUGGUCAAUUGUGAUCAUCUCUUCCUGAGAUAACACGGCCCGGAAACUUUUCCCGUAAAAAAGCAAUGGUGUCGUUGCUUGUGUGCCACAUAAUGCCGUCUUGCUGAAGGUAAACAAUGUCCAGAUCAAUACCAUCAGACUCGGUUCAUAAAAAUGCAUAAGUCAUCUCUCGAUAGCGCAAAGAAACAAUGUCCUCAAGUCACUUGACAGCAGCAUUUAGGAUGCGGACAAAAAAACCUUGUUAACCACGUAAAAAGCAGUUGGCCGAUCUGUGGUAAAUUAUGCAGCGCCAGUGUGGUCUCGUCAGCUCUGUGACACGCAGUGGAAUAAUAUUCAGAUCUGUCAGAAUGCCGCCCUCCGAACUGCGACGGGCUGUCUCCUUAGUUCUCUGUGAACCACCUCCAUCAGUAGACAAAGAUCCUACCAGUGCGAAGACAUAACUACAUGCUGUCUGAGCAAUACCUUUUGGGCUGUUAUCGAAGAGACUAUCCAAACCAUCAUCUUAUGGAUAGAUACUCACCGCCCAGAAGCCUUAAGAUAGAUCUACAUUAUCUAGAGCGUGAGGUUCAACGCUACAAGAGAGAACCUCUAGAUCGAGCGGCAUAUCAAGCAGGUCUAGACAACAUUAAUGCGGACACGGUAGCAGAUGCGGUAAACAGCUACCGGGUGAAUGUAGUCCUUGGAGAACGACCGCCUCCCAUUGCACCCGAAGAAAUUGACCUCCCCGGCAAAAAACCAGAGUAGUUCUAGCUCAAUUACGUUCCGGCAGAUACAGCCGCCUCAACUCCCAGAGAGCAAAAAUUGAUACCGACGUGCAAGAUGUAUGUCCCGAUUAAGACGAGGGACAACACGAUACACGUCACAAGUUAAACUACUCAGUCAAACCUAGAUCCCUCUGGACGCACCCCAUCUUAGUCGCAGAGACCGUGGAUCUUGACACUCAACAGAACCAAGCAGACGAAAGAUAGAACACAAGAAACUGCUAUAACAACAACAACAGUAGAUUGCAGAGCACACAUCUGAAUUUGAACAGGGCUGUUAAAGACGACUUGAUUCACAAGCGCAAUAGAAAACAAGUAUAGUCUUAGAAGGACGAACUUACCCUUGAAAGUAUUAAACAAUUUUAUAUCAACGUCAAGCAAGAAAAUUCGAAACUUUGCACAUUGUGUAAUUUGUACGACACACGUUCAAUUACCCAAUCGCUGAUUUUCUGCAACACCAGACGCAUGGAGAAUUUUUUGCCCUAUGGGAAUCAAUCCCAUGGCAGCCGGUUGUACGUACCGAAUUAACCCGAUAAAGUCCUUCAUCGGCAUGGGCUGACGCUUUAGUGUACAACACACGGAUACAACAACGAAAAUUUUACAGAACUUAUUUCUUCUCUGCACUGAGAUCAGCCUGCAAUCGCGGACAAUCAGAAGUAUCGAGAGGAGAGUCUCAGUUAGAGGCCGGGUGGCACCAGGAUGAACCAAGGAUGAACAUACCCUUAAACUUGUGAGUUAGAUACCCUAUGUGAAUCAAUCCCAUGGCAGCCGGUUGUACGUACCGAAUUAACCCGAUGAAGUCCUUCAUCGGCAUGGGCUGACGCUUAAGUGUACAACACACUGAUACAACAACGAAAAUUUUACCGAACAUAUUUCUUCUCUGCACUGAGAUCAGCCUGCAAACGCGGACAAUCAGAAGUAUCGAGUGGAGAGUCUCAGUGAAAGGCCGGGUGGCACCAGGAUGAACCAAGGAUGGACGUACCCUUGUAGGUAUUAAACAAUUUUAUGUCAACGUCAAGCAAGAAAAUUGGAAAUUUGUCACAAUGUGUGAUUUCUUUCUUUCAAUUUCAACUUUCAAUUACCCACCAGACACAAGCAUAUAGGUCGAUCAAUUAACUGAAGAGAUGACAGUCCACAAUUUUACUGUUUCAGCAAUGUAUGGUGAUAUAAAACAACGAGAUCGUGAAUUGAUUAUGAAACAAUUUCGUUCUGACACGUCUCGUAUAUUGAUUACAACCACCUCCAUCAGUAGACAAAGAUCCUACCAGUGCGAAGACAAAAGUAAGGCAAAAUGUGUGAUGUUGCUUAAAAGCACAGCAAGAACUUUCAAAAAAUUUUUAUCAGCAGAAUUUGUCAAAUGAAGAAUGGUGCUUUAUAUACCAACCCAACUAGAGCUGGGCGCUUGAUUCACAAGCGCAAUAGAAAAUAAGUAAAAUCUUACUUCCCUUAUUCAAAUGCUAUUUAUCCAACAAUGCCAAAAGCAACAAAGAAACACAAUUUUGCCGACAAUCCCAUGGCAGCCGGUUGUACGUACCGGAUUGACCCGAUGAAGUCCUCCAUCGGCAAGGGCUGACGCUUCAGUGUACAAGACACUGCUACAUCAACAAUAAUUUUACCGAACUUACCGAACUUCUGCACUGAGGUCGCGGACAAUCAAAAGUAUCUAGUGGAGUGUCUCAGUGAGAGCCCGGGUGGCACCAGCUCUUGCUUAAAAACUGAGUACCUAUGAUGCUCGAUACCACAAGGCGAGUUUUGGUGCCUUUAAAUAAUUAAUCGCCAUCAUAUUCCCGCGGCAAUCGGUCAUAUAGACCGGAACGAGUAUGCUGCCCUAUAAGACUUGACGAGAAUUGCAAAUGUGUCUACAACAGCAACAGUAGCUUGCAGAGCACAUAACUGAAUUUGAGCAGGGCUUUUAAAGACGACUUGAUUCACAAGCGCAAUA